CAGGACCUACGGGAUAAAAUACGUAUUUUUCUUUUCAAAUUAAAGGGUACAGCUGUUAUAAAUAGGGGGUAAGAAUGCCACUGCAGUGUUAAAAAAUGUUUGGGCGCACCUAUGCGCACGGACACCCUUCUGCCCGCUCAGCGGUACCGCGGGAGGCCCCUCAGCCCCGCGGCUGCAGCGGCCCGGCUCUCUCUGCUCUCUUACCUGGCAGCUCUGAGAAGCAAGAGGCAGCUUUGCUCUGCACCUGGGCUGGAGCUGCUCCUCCCCUCAGCAGAGAGCAGGACACGAGGGUGCUGCUGCACGUGUGGAACAAGUGGCAAUCUGCAGUGCUGAGAGGAGCACAAGCUGAAAACAUGGGUUCUGUGGUUUCAUCCUGUAUUGCAACCUUCCAGCCGAAGACCAUAUAA
rnacentral:lncRNA from 1 species